ensembl:lncRNA
AGCUUGCCCACAUGAAAAAUAUUUCUAAUAUGUGAAAUGAAAUGUUAUUUGUAAUGCAGAAAGACAGAAACACUUUAGGCUAGUUAAAAUAUUUAAUAUUCACAGAUGAAAGUUUAGUCCUUAUGAAGAUGUGCGUUUCUUAGAACGAAUUCAAGCAGGAUAAGUGUGAAGCCUAUGAGUGUCACGAAACGCACACAAAGAGGUAGAUCCAAAUGCAGUGUUUAAUGGGUAAUCCAGAAAUCAUAACUCUAGCCAGGCAACGGUCAAAAUCCAGGUAAUCAGUCCAAAACAAGAAACACAAACAAAGCAAGGAAACACGAAACAGCAGGGUGACUUUAAACAAGGACUCCGUAACAAAGACAGAAACAAACCAGGUAUUUAUAGACAGGUGAUUACAAUACUAACGGGGAAUUGGCUGAGUGCAAUGAUUAAUGACCAGGGACAGCUGAGUGCAAUGAGCAGUGAUGAAACAAACAAGACUAAGGGAAAUGUAGUUCUGAGGUGGGGUGACGCUAAGGGGAAGUGAGACCUCUAGUGGACACCCAGGGAUACACAAACCAGACACCGUGACACUACCCCCCCUCUAAGGAGCAGCUUCCAGAUGCUCCUCAGAACAAAACAAACACAAAACAAAGAGACCAGGAGGGAGGUGGACUGGUGGAGGCAGAACAGGGGGAGGGAUGGCGGGCCAGGCCCGUGUAGGGGAACUGGGACCGGCAGCGAUGGCUCCCCUGGCAGCCCAGGUGGCUCGGUCAGAUCAGGGGGCCAUGGUGGACCCGAAAGUUCAGGGGACCACGAGGGACCAGGCAGUUCAGGUGGCCACGGUGGACCCGAAAGUUCAGGGGACCACGAGGGGCCAGGCAGUUCAGGUGGCCACGGUGGAUCAGUCCAUUCUCGUUGUGCAGACGGCCAGGGAGGAAUUCACCAUUUGAGUGGCCCGAACGGAACCUGCCAUUCGGGGAGCCAGUGAGGAGCAGACUGUGGCGAUGGCCAGGUCACGGCAUUGGACACCGCCUCGGGAACGACCUCGGGCACGACCUCGGGCACCGCCCUGGGAGCGGCCUCAGGAACGGCAUGGGACAAGGACACCGCCUCGGGAACGGCCCUGGACAUCGCCUCGGCCUGCGCAUCGGACACCGCCUCGGCCUCCGGAACCAUCUCGGGCACCGCCUCGGACACCGCCUCGGCCUCCGGCACCAUCUCGGGCCCCGCCUCGGCCUCCGGAACAGCAUCGGGCCCCGCCUCGGCCUCCGGAACAGCAUCGGUCACUGCCUCGGCAUCGAGUACCGCCUCGACCUCCGGAACGGCAUCGGGCACCGCCUCGGCAUCGGGAACCGCAUCGGGCACCGCUUCGGCAUCAGGCACCGCCUCGGGAACCUUGGGCACGUCCUCCUGGAUGGCAGCGGCCUGCUCGGGAACGUCCUCCUGGACGGCAGCGGCCUGCUCGGGAACGUCCUCCUGGACGGCAGCGGCCUGCUCGGGAACGUCCUCCGGGCUUUGAGGAACGGCUGACGCCUGUCUCCUCCUCCUGCGGCCUCUAUGAUGGCGUGCCGGUGGCUCCUUGACGGAAGACUCAGGCGUUGAGUCAACCAUCUUGUGCUGUGGUGCUGGGCUGGCGGCCAUCUUGUGCUGUGGCGCUGGGCACGCUGAGCUGGCGGCCAUCCUGUGCAAUGGCGCUGGGCUGGCGGCCAUCUUGUGCUGUGGUGCUGAACUGGUGGCCAUCUUGGGCAUUGGCGCUGGCUCAGCGGCCGUGAUGUGAGUACUCCUGGGAAGGAUCUGGCACAUCCUGGAAAAGUAACUUAAUAAUGUCUCCGCGGCCAUCUUGGGCUGUGGCGCUGGGCUGGCGGCCAUCUUGUGCUGUGGCGCUGGGCUGGCGGCCAUCUUGUGCUGUGGCGCUGGGCUGGCGGCCAUCUUGUGCUGUGGCGCUGGGCUGGCGGCCAUCUUGUGCUGUGGCGCUGGGCUGGCGGCCAUCUUCUCUGGAGACACAGGUGUGGUCGAAGUAUCCCAUUGAGCACGAUGGCGCAGGUAAUGGGUAAACCCCCAAAAGUCUAGGAUCUCCAGCCCCUUCAUCUCCCACCGAGGCAAAGGGUCAUCCAGGCAGUCAUUAAACAAAUCCUUUAGUGCCUCAUCGUUAUACCCCCGCCCUACCGCCAUAGUCCAAAACGCUUGAGCCAGAUCACCCACCUCACGCCCCCUUUGACGAAGGGUGGUUAAGUUCCGUAGUCUACCCCUCCGUUCCUUCAUGGUGGCUGGGGAACAGCUUCGAACUCCCACACCGCUGGAUCUAUGCGUGACGGAGUCCUUCUGUCACGAAACGCACACAAAGAGGUAGAUCCAAAUGCAGUGUUUAAUGGGUAAUCCAGAAAUCAUAAAUCUAGCCAGGCAACGGUCAAAAUCCAGGUAAUCAGUCCAAAACAAGAAACACAAACAAAGCAAGGAAUCACGAAACAGCAGGGUGACUUUAAACAAGGACUCCGUAACAAAGACAGAAACAAACCAGGUAUUUAUAGACAGGUGAUUACAAUACUAACGGGGAAUUGGCUGAGUGCAAUGAUUAAUGACCAGGGACAGCUGAGUGCAAUGAGCAGUGAUGAAACAAAGAAGACUAAGGGAAAUGUAGUUCUGAGGUGGGGUGACGCUAAGGGGAAGUGAGACCUCUAGUGGACACCCAGGGAUACACAAACCAGACACCGUGACAAUGAGCCUGUGCUUAUAUUUUCUCUACACCACAUUUUAGGUUUGACACAUUUAAAUAGUGUGCAGUAUUAUUUAUAUAAUAUGAAUUGUGUGCUAUAUUAUUCAAAAGAAAUUGUGGUUUACUUUGCAUCGGAACAUUAAGUGGUAGCCUAUUGUGAGCUAGGCUUGCGUGUUUUAUAAAUUAUUUUCUUUAUUUUAGUAAAACGUGAGGCACUGUAUAAUUUCGCUCCCAUUAUUUAGGCCUAAUUAAAACAAGAAACAAAUAAAUUAAACCUGCACGAUUUAGCUAAAUCACUGAAACUCUAAAGAAUGGACUGAUUAAUAAAACGUCCUCAUGAUUAAACUCAAGUCAUUAAUCAACAAAAUACACACAAUGUAAAAAAAAGUCUUCUUUACUUGCUUUCAUAUAAUUUAAGUAAAGUAAAAAAAAUAAAUAAACUGAAAUAAAUUGCAGCCGCAUUUAAAUGCAGGUUUGUACAAUAUUCUGUAAAAUGUCAGAGUGCAAGAUUUGCUCUGCGCGCAUGAUGCUGAGUGCACAGCAUUUAUUCUUAUUUGUCUACAUUUUAUCUUAAUUACAAAUCUUGUUUGGUUUUAUUUUGGAUAAUUGCAUGUAAAAAAAAUAUUUACUUUGUAAUGCAUAUGCAAAAUGUUAAUUAUUAUUCAUAUUCAAGUGUUUGUGCCAAAAUUAUUUAUGCGCUUGACAGGGAGGCGCCCUCUCGAUCACGUGAUUUUUUUCCCUAAUAAUGAAAUAACUGAAAAUCUGGGUGUCUCACAUACAUGAGAAAUAUAUCUACAGAAAGCUUGAAAUGUCUUUUAAACGAAUCAAUUCAAAACGAAAGCAUUAUGUAAUCUGAGAAGGUUUCAUUUCUCUCUAAAGCCGCGUUCAUGUGGAGAGAGCCAGCACUGUGAAUUUCAUCUUGCAGCCGACAAGAAAACAUUUGUUUAUUAAUAAAUAAUUAAAAUGUCUCCUUUUUCACAAUUAUUAGGCUACUUCUGCCUGUGCUUUGUGGCAAACUUAAUGCAUGUUCUAUAUUAAGGCUCAUUAUGGAUUAUAGAUGUAAAUUUAAUAUAAACCUCUGAUUAGUUGAAUAAUGACAAAUGAACGACUAGUAACUAGAAAAUCUUACGUGGGAGGCAGAUCUAUUAAAUACCCUCUAGACAUCUCUGUUAAAGUUUUUAAAGCAUUUUAUACGCAUUUGUAUAAAUUCUACUUUCAGAACGGUCUGUAACGGAGAGAUGCCUUAACAAUGAUUUUCCCUCUGAAACACAAAAACGAAAAUUUAAAUAAAACUGAUAUUUUAUGUUUUGAGAAUGGCCAACCCUUCUCUGCAGAUAUUGUGCUUCUGGUUUGUGCAUUUUAAAUCACAUAAAGUCUACAAAAUAUAAUGUCUCCCAAAAUUGGUGUUUUUUUGUCACCUAUAAAACAUGUUCAUAGACGGAUACUUUACUGAUGUCUGGACUCUGUUUGGGAUUUAGAAAAACUUAAAGAGAUGGUUUAAUAUAGGCCUAUUGUUUAUGAAUAGGCUACAUUCUGUGAAAAUGUAUAUUUCACACUCUAAAAAAAUAUUGUAUGGACGCAACAAAAUAAAAUGGCCGAUGCUCCACUCAGGGCUCGUAGUUGUGAUUGGGCUCAACCCUCCCCCGCGCGUCUGAGACAUGCUGCCGAGCAGAGUAUGAGCGGAGCGAUGUUAUUCUGACUGGAGCGAUUUUUUAAAAGUCGGAGCGUCGUGGUUUUCACUCCCUCCAGCACCGCUCCAUCACGAAUACAAGUCAUGCCAAUGGCCCAUAAUAUAACUGCAUAUUUAGCAAGAAUUCACAUGAUAAACAUAUUUAGCUAUAUCUUGAUACACAUAAUCUCUCCGUAUAAUGACG